UGAGGAAUAUUGGUCAAUGGGCGAAAGCCUGAACCAGCAACGCCGCGUGAGGGAUGAAGGCCUUCGGGUCGUAAACCUCUUUUCUGGGAGACGAGACAAGGACGGUAUCCCAGGAAUAAGUCUCGGCUAACUACGUGCCAGCAGCCGCGGUAAAACGUAGGAGGCAAGCGUUAUCCGGGUUUACUGGGCGUAAAGCGCACGCAGGCGGCUGCGUAAGUCGGACGUGAAAGCUCCUGGCUCAACUGGGAGAGGUCGUUCGAAACUGCGCGGCUUGAGGUUGGAAGAGGAGAGCGGAAUUCCCGGUGUAGUGGUGGAAUGCGUAGAUAUCGGGAGGAACACCAGUGGCGAAAGCGGCUCUCUGGUCCACACCUGACGCUCAGGUGCGAAAGCGUGGGUAGCGAACGG
rnacentral:rRNA from 1 species